rnacentral:rRNA from 1 species
CGGGAGGGGCUCGCGGCCUAUCAGCUUGUUGGUGGGGUAACGGCCCACCAAGGCAUCGACGGGUAGCUGGUCUGAGAGGACGAUCAGCCACACUGGGACUGAGACACGGCCCAGACUCCUACGGGAGGCAGCAGUGGGGAAUCUUGCGCAAUGGGCGAAAGCCUGACGCAGCAACGCCGCGUGGAGGACGAAGGCUUUCUGAGUUGUAAACUCCUUUCAGCAGGGACGAUUGUGACGGUACCUGCAGAAGAAGCACCGGCCAACUACGUGCCAGCAGCCGCGGUGAUACGUAGGGUGCAAGCGUUGUCCGGAUUUAUUGGGCGUAAAGAGCUCGUAGGCGGUUUGAUAAGUCGGGUGUGAAAUCUCCAGGCUCAACCUGGAGCUGCCACUCGAUACUGUCAUGACUUGAAUUCGGUAGGGGACCACGGAAUUCCUGGUGUAGCGGUGAAAUGCGCAGAUAUCAGGAGGAACACCAGCAGCGAAGGCGGUGGUCUGGGCCGACAUUGACGCUGAGGAGCGAAAGCGUG